rnacentral:lncRNA from 1 species
CUGCAACAUACUACCUUGCUCCUUUUGCAUAACACUUUGUACUUCAAUUGGCACACUUGCCUCCUGUUCAAUCUCCUGAUCUGUUGGCUUUUGAACUGCUUCAGUUGGCACAUGCUUCUUAACAAUCCAUUCCUUCUUUUUCUGUUUUCCUUGCUUCUUAUCUCCAUCAUUUACUUUUUUGGUGUUCUCAAGUUCCUCCUUGUGUUUUGUUGAGUUAUCAGAAGAGUACCAACACUCAAUUUUCUCAUGACCAAACUUAAGACAAUGAUUACAAAAGGUAGGUUUCC